AUUCCUCGAGGGUGCCUUCAUCGGUGGGGGUGCCGUAGGUACUCUACUCCUUCGAUCUCCAUGAGAAUCUGCAUACGAAAAGUAGAGAGAGGAGUAUAGGAGUCAUACCUAUCAUAGUUCGCUUCGAACUCCGACAUCAGGAUGAAACUCGCUUAUUGAAAGAUGGUCGACUUGAUUCGGUCAGAGCUCCAUCUUUUUUCUAUUUCUUCUUCUGACUCUUGCCUUCUGUCUGGCAUCGGUCAGAAGUAGUCUCGUCCGCACGAAUGUACUUGUAUGCAUAUUUGAGAAGUUCGACAUAGGUCUGGGGGAGAGUUUUGUCCAAGAAGUAUGCGAAUCUGAAUCCCCUCAGACCCC
rnacentral:lncRNA from 1 species